AUGAUGGACAGCCUCUGGGAGGACCUCAACGACGACGAGGCGCCGGGCAGCGAGAGGAACGAUCUGCUCAUCGCCUCCCUCGACGUGUCGCGGCGGCGGUCCAUCGGAGGCCCAGGCCACCCCGUCGACGGGAGGAGGCCGACGACCACGGCGAAGGAGCGCGAGGCCGCAGCGGUGCUCGCGGCGUCGAGGAGCUCCCGAGGGCGCUCCCCGGGGCUGGUGGUGAUGAUGCGCGCGCUCAAGAAGAUGUUCGUCGCGCACAAGAGCAGAAGCAAAGUGCACAAGGUCGACGAGCAGAGCACCGCCUCUGCUUCUUCCGGCAACUCCUUCAAGAAAUGA
rnacentral:rRNA from 1 species